UACUGACGCUGAGGUGCGAAAGCAUGGGGAGCAAACAGGAUUAGAUACCCUGGUAGUCCAUGCCGUAAACGAUGUCUACUAGCCGUUGGGGCCUUUGAGGCUUUAGUGGCGCAGCUAACGCGAUAAGUAGACCGCCUGGGGAGUACGGUCGCAAGACUAAAACUCAAAUGAAUUGACGGGGGCCCGCACAAGCGGUGGAGCAUGUGGUUUAAUUCGAUGCAACGCGAAGAACCUUACCUGGCCUUGACAUACUAGAAACUUUCCAGAGAUGGAUUGGUGCCUUCGGGAAUCUAGAUACAGGUGCUGCAUGGCUGUCGUCAGCUCGUGUCGUGAGAUGUUGGGUUAAGUCCCGCAACGAGCGCAACCCUUUUCCUUACUUGCCAGCAUUUCGGAUGGGAACUUUAAGGAUACUGCCAGUGACAAACUGGAGGAAGGCGGGGACGACGUCAAGUCAUCAUGGCCCUUACGGCCAGGGCUACACACGUGCUACAAUGGUCGGUACA
rnacentral:rRNA from 1 species